CAUAAUUAGAAAAGUAUCACCAUUUUCCUGGGACAAAAAUAUGUAAGUUUAAACAUUUUUAGUGCCAGGUCAGUAGUCACGAUUUACCAACAGCAUUUUUUAUUUUAAAAAUACAGUUAGUGACUACACCAUUGGCUAACAAACUGAGACUUAAAGCAUUCUCUAGAUGCAAAUGCUACAAAUAAAUCAAAUUAUUAGGCAUAUUCACUAAUACUUACAAACUUAACUUCAUAUAUAAAGCAAGGUAGAUCACCAGUGUGGCCAUGCAAACAGGGUUUGAGGACUUCAAUAUUUAAAGCAAGUUAGUCCAACCCACAGCCCAAGGGCCACAUGCAGCCCAGGAUGGCUUUGAAUGAGGCCCAACACAAAUUAGCAAAUUACUAAACUUACUUAAAAUGAUGGGAUUUUAUUUUUUGCCAUUUUUUGGUUUGUGUGUUUGGUUUUUAGCUCAUCAGCUUUGUUAGUGUUAGUGUAUUUUAUGUGUGGCCCAAGACAAUACUUCCAAUGUGGCCCAGGGAAGCCAAAAGAUUGGACACUCCUGAUUUAAAGGGAAAAGGGAGGGCAGAUGAAGAAAGAGGAUAAAAAAAAGAGAGAGAAGGUAGACAAAACAGGAAAGUGGUUAGUCUUUGGAGGCUUUGAUUAGCACUUACUGAAUCUACAUUUUACAUGUGAAAGGAGUGGGUAGCGAAACAGUGAAUUAUGCAUAGUGCUCAGUGCGUCUGCAUUUUUGCAUAAGAUAAAGUAAACAUAGAGGAGGUGCUCAAAUAUGCAUUCCUCUCAGGUGAGCCAAGGGAUGCCCUCUAGGCCUGUCUUUGUCAAGGUACCGGUGAAGAUAAGCUGUUAGUUUACAUUGUCAAGGUGAAAUAGAACAGCGUUCUGUUUUAGGGUAAAGCUCUUGGGGCCCACGAGGAAUUUCCUUGUGAGCAAUUUGUGAAGGAGGCCACCGGGGGAGACAUGUGGCCUUCUGUCUUUGCAGCUAUCUACUUAGGAACAAAAUGGAAGGCAGUUUUUGCAUGAUGCAGUUACUGAGCUUCACUUUUCCCUUUGGCAUAGUGAGUUUGGGGUCCUGAGAUUUUUAUAUUCCUUUCACAGCCUCACUAUACUUGAAUUAAAAUACAAUCUACAUGUUAAAACUGACCACAUCAUUCUUUCCUGUGUGUCUUCAAAGGAUUUAAGGCCCAUCCAGAUAAUCCAAGAUGAUCUCAUUUCAAAGCCUUAAUUAUAUCUUUGAUGACUCUUUUUCCAAAUAAGGUCUCAAUUAGAGGUUCCUGGAAUAAGACACGGACUCAUCUCCCUGGGGGCCACCAUUCAGCCUGAUCCGGAAGGAAGGCCAUGAUUUCAGCUCUCUGGGAUUUGAGACAAAGAGGCCCCUUUUCUUUCAUUUUAUCUUUUCAUGUCUCUUCUUGCCAUGUACCCACAUGAUUGAGUGUGGGCUGAGGGUGAAUCCAAGAAGGGCUUUGUUUUGUGGUCAGUACAGGCUUUGGUCCACAGAGACAACAAUACUUUCAAUACUCUUUUGUUCUGCCCCAGAGGAGCUCAACACAGAAUUGCCUAGAACAAGAAACUGGUGAGAGAAGCUGCAGCCUGUUGAGACUCCACAAGACUGAAGAUAUGAAAAGAGGAAAUAUGCAUGAAUGCCCGCACGGAGAACCACCCCCACCUGCUGCUCCCGCUCUAAUGAUCACGCCCAUUAUCAACUGGGGGAUGGCUCUGUGCCUUGUCCUUGCAUUACAUGGACCAAGAACACUUCACAGGACUCAGAGAGGCAAAAAUAGAUACAAAAGAAGAAGGAAUUACAGAAGAAGUCACAUAACAUUAUUGCCUACAACUGACUGUUUACCUUGAAUACUUGAAGACCAGAAUGAAGAUUCUUGGGGUGAAGAAUUACAGCCUUAGCAUGGAGCAGGCCUCGGUGCAUCGGCUUUCAGCUAGGCAUGCCUGCCAAUGUUCAACGUCCUCCUGGGAUACGGAAGGCACCGUGAUAGACAUCUGGGCAAGUCAACAGGAAGGUGGAUAUCCAAAUCUCUCUCUUCGCAAUGAGUUUCCAGUUAGAUGGAGGAGAGAGUAAUAAAACACAGAGCUGAGAUUCCUGACUUCACAGAUCCCUGAGGAGAUGUUUACUAAAGGGAAUCUUCUGGUCACUGUUACCUUCCUCCGUACUUACCUGCCUCAUGGAUAACACUGAAGAAUGCAGUUUACUUACAUCUUUUUCUGUUUGACAGAAGACAGUUAUUAGAACCCGAAAGGAAGAAGCUAUACGACUGGGGACACAUGUCUUAGAAGCACACUCAUUAGAUAAAGUGUCGCAUACUCUUUGAUAAGGUAAGGCUCCCUGGACGAGAUGUUUUACAGGUACCAUGAGCUCAGUGAAUUGCUUUUGGAAAGACACUCAGCGGAGUGGGCACCACGAGGUUAGGAGAAGCAGCUUCUGCUCGUCAUAACUUUGGCAAAUGUUUACACAUCAGUAAUGAAAAAUAUUCUCUUGGCGAUUUCAGGCUUGUUACUAUGGAUGUUGUUUGCUAACAUUGACUAUUUUUCCUAACUGCUUAUAGAAACUCCAGGCUGUCACCCAUCUGUUCUCUCAUCAAAGUAGUUUUGGGCCAGCAACUAUUUCAGACAUUUCUACAGUUUCAGAUGUCUCACUCUGCCUAUGACUGUAUGUUGUACUUGAGGACUGGACGCACAGGGUAAAGUGCAAAUAGCAAGCAUUCAGGUCCAACUCUCCUCCUUCUGGUUAACAAUAUGAAAGAAAGAGGUAGUAUCGGAAUUAUUUUAGUUCAAUGUAGCCAU
rnacentral:lncRNA from 10 species